GCCCCACUGGCGCAAUGGUAGCGCGUCAGACGUAAGUUGCACCGCAUAACCGCUAUACUUCCCGCAUUUACUAAUCCACGAGCAGUUCUACGAAGAUGUAAAUCUGAAGGUUGCGGGUUCGAGCCCCGCGUGGGGUU